rnacentral:rRNA from 1 species
AGCCUGUUCCCUAUGGGUUCUUUUAUUAAUGAUUCUUUUUAGAUCUUUCUUUUUUGCUUCGGCAUUUUAGGAGAUCUUGUUACUUUGAGUAAAUUAGAGUGUUCAAAGCAAACAGAAUAUAACAUCAUUAUACGUUUGAAUACUACAGCAUGGAAUAACAAAAAUGAACAAGUCAGAAUUUUGUUCUUUUUUCUUAUUUUGGCUUAGUUACGAUUAAUAGGAGUAGCUUGGGGGCAUUUGUAUUCAGAUGUCAGAGGUGAAAUUCUUAGAUUUUCUGGAGACAAACAACUGCGAAAGCAUUUGCCUAAAAUACUUCCAUUAAUCAAGAACGAAAGUUAAGGGAGUGAAGACGAUCAGAUACCGUCGUAAUCUUAACCAUAAACUAUGCCGACUAGGGCUUUGGGAAUG